rnacentral:rRNA from 1 species
AUGAACGCUAGCGACAGGCUUAACACAUGCAAGUCGAGGGGCAGCACAGGUAGCAAUACCGGGUGGCGACCGGCGCACGGGUGAGUAACGCGUAUGCAACUUACCUAUCAGAGGGGGAUAACCCGGCGAAAGUCGGACUAAUACCGCAUGAAGCAGGGGCCCCGCAUGGGGAUAUUUGCUAAAGAUUCAUCGCUGAUAGAUAGGCAUGCGUUCCAUUAGGCAGUUGGCGGGGUAACGGCCCACCAAACCGACGAUGGAUAGGGGUUCUGAGAGGAAGGUCCCCCACAUUGGAACUGAGACACGGUCCAAACUCCUACGGGAGGCAGCAGUGAGGAAUAUUGGUCAAUGGCCGAGAGGCUGAACCAGCCAAGUCGCGUGAGGGAUGAAGGUUCUAUGGAUCGUAAACCUCUUUUAUAAGGGAAUAAAGUGCGGGACGUGUCCCGUUUUGUAUGUACCUUAUGAAUAAGGAUCGGCUAACUCCGUGCCAGCAGCCGCGGUAAUACGGAGGAUCCGAGCGUUAUCCGGAUUUAUUGGGUUUAAAGGGUGCGUAGGCGGCCUUUUAAGUCAGCGGUGAAAGUCUGUGGCUCAACCAUAGAAUUGCCGUUGAAACUGGGGGGCUUGAGUAUGUUUGAGGCAGGCGGAAUGCGUGGUGUAGCGGUGAAAUGCAUAGAUAUCACGCAGAACCCCGAUUGCGAAGGCAGCCUGCCAAGCCAUGACUGACGCUGAUGCACGAAAGCGUGGGGAUCAAACAGGAUUAGAUACCCUGGUAGUCCACGCAGUAAACGAUGAUCACUAGCUGUUUGCGAUACACUGUAAGCGGCACAGCGAAAGCGUUAAGUGAUCCACCUGGGGAGUACGCCGGCAACGGUGAAACUCAAAGGAAUUGACGGGGGCCCGCACAAGCGGAGGAACAUGUGGUUUAAUUCGAUGAUACGCGAGGAACCUUACCCGGGUUUGAACGCAUUCGGACCGAGGUGGAAACACCUUUUCUAGCAAUAGCCGUUUGCGAGGUGCUGCAUGGUUGUCGUCAGCUCGUGCCGUGAGGUGUCGGCUUAAGUGCCAUAACGAGCGCAACCCUUGCCACUAGUUACUAACAGGUAAAGCUGAGGACUCUGGUGGGACUGCCAGCGUAAGCUGCGAGGAAGGCGGGGAUGACGUCAAAUCAGCACGGCCCUUACAUCCGGGGCGACACACGUGUUACAAUGGCGUGGACAAAGGGAGGCCACCUGGUGACAGGGAGCGAAUCCCCAAACCACGUCUCAGUUCGGAUCGGAGUCUGCAACCCGACUCCGUGAAGCUGGAUUCGCUAGUAAUCGCGCAUCAGCCAUGGCGCGGUGAAUACGUUCCCGGGCCUUGUACACACCGCCCGUCAAGCCAUGGGAGCCGGGGGUACCUGAAGUCCGUAACCGAAAGGAUCGGCCUAGGGUAAAACUGGUGACUGGGGCU